UACUUUUGCAACCGAACCUGAAAAUCAGGAAUUCAUACAUAAAAAUCAUUAAUAAAUAUUGGAAUG
rnacentral:ncRNA from 1 species